AACCUAUAUGAAUUUUUUUUCUUGGUUAAGAAAUGACUUUCAAGGCGAUAAUGGAUGCAGUCUGCAAGACAUCCAUUCCACUUGGGUGGGAUGAUUGUGACAAAAGUGGAACUAUGAAACAAGUUGCAGUAGCUCUUUCUAAUAAGGGUGGUACCAAGAGUUACCAUGAGAGGAGUAUUCCUAAAACAUUUCCCAUCAUGACAACAAACGUUGAUGGAAAAAGCACACAAGCUACUAUCUAGAUGGAUGAGGAUACCUUUUGAAACACUAGACCCACUUUACAAGUCUAAAAUGUAUAGGGACAAGUACCAGUGUUUAUUAAAUGCCAUGGCA